AUCUAUAUAAUUUAUAAUUUCAUAUAAUCCACACGGCAAUACAAAAAUCAAUUUUCAUAUAUAUCCCAAUCACAUUUAUUUCAGGGAGCAUGUCCUUGUACAUCAUCAGCUAGAUCCGUAUGUUUGUUGGAGGGGUGUACUUUGCUUAUUAGCGUAUAUGCAUAUUGUGCACUCACACCCAAAAGGAACACACUUGGCACUGGCGUUGCACGCGCAGUUUGGAGGGCAGUGAAACUUCAAGAGCUCUUGGCCCACUUGAUUCUGGCAUUCACUUAUAUCACAAUCAUGACCACCCGGCUGUGGGAUGAGUUUUCUCUUGCAAUCUUUAUACGCUGUCGCACCUACUCCCUCCGUUCCUAAAUACUUGUCUUUCUAGAGAUUUCAACAAGUGACUACAUACGGCGCAAAAUGAGUGAAUCUACACUUUAAAAUAUGUCUACACACAUCCGUAUGUUGAGUCCAUUUAAAAUGCCUAGAAAGACAAGUACUCCCUCCGUUCCUAAAUAUUUGUCUUUUUAGAGUUUUAAAUGGACUACCACAUACGGAUGUAUAUAGACACAUUUUAGAGCGUAGAUUCACUCAUUUUGCUCCGUAUGUAGUCACUUGUUGAAAUCUCUAGAAAGACAAAUAUUUAGGAACGGAGAGAGUAUUUGGGAACGGAGGGAGUACAAGAUAUCGGCAUGAAAAGAACAUGGGUCACACAUCAUGGCCAUAAUUUGAUAAAUGAGUUUGUGUGAUAUGCAUUAUAGAGAAGAAAAUGGGCACCAUAUGUUAACAGAAGGAAGGCGAGGACCAGGAGUUGAGUCACAGUACCGGUUCUCCUCAUUUUUGCCGUCUUAUGGCGUUGAUAUCUACUGUUGUUGAUGGCUACGAAACUUUAGAGCUGUUUAGGAGAACAAAUAAGAUGGCAAUCUUUUUAUAGAGGGCUUCAUAUCAAUACCAUUACCAUUAUUUGGAAAGACAUUUACUAUUGGAUAUUGUAUACCAAAAAAAUAAUUAUGGAGUAUCAAAUAAGUAAUACUAAUACCAUUAUUGGAAAGAAAUUUAUUAUUGGAUAUUGUAUACCAAAAAAAUAAUUAUGGAGUAUCAAAUAAGUAAUACUACUACCAUUAUUUGAAAACACAAUAUUAUUGGAUACCAAUACCAUUAACAUUAUUUGAAAAACACAAUAUUAUUGGAUAUCAAUACCAUUAACAUUAUUUUGAAACACAUUAUUAUUGGAUAUCAAUACCAUUACCAUUAUUUUGAAACACAUUAUUAUCGCCCAAUGCGCUUGCCAAGAAAAACUUACACCACACACCCACAACUAC
rnacentral:lncRNA from 1 species